GCAGUCACAUAACAAUUUCAAACAUCUUUCUUAGGAUAUGAGGAGGUCAAAUACAUGAAAAGUGAUAUUUCUUUUCUAAAUCACUAGAACUGGAACAAGAAGAAGCAAACCUAGGAAGAUAUUAUCCCGUUCCUGAGUUUAUUCCCUUAUGAACUAGGGCUGAGCAGAUUCAGUACAGCAUCUUUCAGGUAUGAAGUAGAAACAAAGAACAAACUACACAUGGGCCUAAUUAUUAAGUGUUCUGAGU
rnacentral:lncRNA from 1 species